AACGAACGCUGGCGGCGUGCCUAACACAUGCAAGUCGAACGGGAUGAGGGGGCUUGCUCCUUCAUUUAGUGGCGCACGGGUGAGUAACGCGUAGAUAAUCUGCCUGACGAUCCGGGAUAACACUUCGAAAGGGGUGCUAAUACCGGAUAAGCCCACGGGGACUUUGGUCUUUGCGGGAAAAGGGGGGGACCUUUUGGCCUUCUGUCGUCAGAUGAGUCUGCGUACCAUUAGCUAGUUGGUAGGGUAAAGGCCUACCAAGGCGACGAUGGUUAGCUGGUCUGAGAGGAUGAUCAGUCACACUGGAACUGAGACACGGUCCAGACUCCGACGGGAGGCAGCAGUGGGGAAUUUUGCGCAAUGGGCGAAAGCCUGACGCAGCAACGCCGCGUGAGUGAUGAAGGCUUUCGGGUCGUAAAGCUCUGUCGAGGGGAAAGAAGUGUAUUGUGGUUAAUACCCAUGAUACUUGACGGUACCCCUAAAGGAAGCACCGGCUAACUCCGUGCCAGCCGCCGCAGUAAAAC
rnacentral:rRNA from 1 species